rnacentral:pre_miRNA from 1 species
AUUGUACUCUCUUCGUUCCGAAUUACUUGUCUUAGAUUUGUCUAGAUACGGAUGUAUCUAACACUAAAAUGAGUCUAGAUACAUCCGUAUCUAGACAAAUCCAAGACAAGUAAUUCGAAACGGAGGGAGUAAUAG